rnacentral:lncRNA from 1 species
UCAGCCAGUGCUCCAGUUCCUAAGUUCAUAGAGGGUAACAGAGAUAGAGCACCAGGCUCUAGGUCUCAGGGCAGUGUUAGCAAUUCCCGAACUAAUCCUUUUGUCGGACUUAUAGUAAGAACCACAAGGAUGCUUGUAGAGCUAGUAGCGAUAUCUAUUUUGGUUGUGGCAAGCUAGGCCACCGAGUUUGAGGCUGGCCUCAGUCAGGUUAUCAAACUUAUAUCCGCUCC